CCACUCUAGCACCACCAAAUCAUGUAAAUGUGCUCCAACCACCAUGCCCCGCAACAAGUAUUUAUUAAUCUAACUUCACUUUUAUGGAGUUUUUGUUUUUUAAAAUAUAGAGAUGGGGUCUUGCUAUGUUGCCCAGGCUGGUCUUGAACUCCUGGCUUCAAGCAAUCCUCAUGCCUUGGCCUCCCAAAGUGUUGGGCUUACAGGUGUGAGCCACUGCACCCAGCCCUAACUUCACUUUUUUUUUUUUUUUUUUUUUGAGACAGUCUCACCCCAGUUGCUCAGGCUGGAAUGCAGUGGCAUGAUCUCAGCUCACUGCAGCCUCAAACUCCUGGGCUCAGGUGAUCUUCCCACCUCAGCCUCUUGUGUAGCUGGGACUGCAGGCACGCAGAACCAUGAGUAGCUGGAACUACAGGCAUGCAGAACCAUGCCCAGCUAAGUUGUUUUUUUUUUUUUUUUGAGACAGAGUCUUGCUCUGUUGCUCAGGCUGGAGUGCAGUGGCACGAUCUCGGCUCACUGCAAGCUCCACCUCCCAGGUUCAAGUGAUUCUCCUGCCUCAGACACCUGAGUAGCUGGGACUACAGGUGUCCGCCACCACUCCUGGCUAAUUUUUUUGUUUGUUUGUUUUUGUAUUUUCAGUAGAGACAGGGCUGUGUUAGCCAGGAUAGUCUCGAUCUCCUGAGCUCGUGGUCCGCCCCCCUCCGCCUCCCAAGGUGCUGGGAUUACAGGCAGGAGCCACCGCACCCAGCCACUUUAUUUUUAGUAGAGACGGAGUUUCACCAUGUCGCCCAGACCAGUCUCAAAUUCCUGUCUCCAAGCAAUCCUCCCACCUCAGCCUCCCAAAAUGCUGGGAUUACAUGUGGGCACCAUUCUGCCCAGCUGUAAUUCUUAAAAAUUAUUAUUAAAAAAGAACAAAACACAUAGAUGCCCUAGACUCAACUCAGCUCUACUGAUCAAUCUUUAGGGGUUAGGACUAGGCUUUUGAAAUGUUAAAACACCCAGAAAACUGAUGACCAGUCAGGCUUAGUAUCCGCCAUCUCUACCAUUCAUAUGGUACUUAAUGUUUCAUAUUUAAAUGGAAAGGACACCUCACACUUUUUUGUUUUUCC
rnacentral:lncRNA from 10 species